rnacentral:misc_RNA from 1 species
UUAUCAUUUAGAUGAAGGAGAAGUCGUAACAAGGUUUCCGUAGGUGAACCUGCGGAAGGAUCAUUGACGAAACCUGCCUAGCAAAACGACCUGUGAAUUUGUGAACGUUUUGGGGGGGUUGAGGGCUGUGCUGGCACAGUUGUUCUCCCCCCUUUGUCGGGAAGCAUGUGCGUGACUCGAUUCCCUUUGUGGGAGUGUGGCUCGUGCAAGCUCUCCUCGAUCGAACAAUGAACCCCGGGGCAAAAUUGCCCCAAGGAACUUGAAACGUAGACCUUGCGCUUUCUGCCCUGGAAAUUGUGCGCGUGGGAAGCUAUGUUGUAUUUUGUAACAAAUAACGACUCUCGGCAACGGAUAUCUCGGCUCUUGCAUCGAUGAAGAACGUAGCGAAAUGCGAUACUUGGUGUGAAUUGCAGAAUCCCGUGAACCAUCGAGUCUUUGAACGCAAGUUGCGCCCAAAGCCAUUAGGCCGAGGGCAUGUCUGCCUGGGCGUAACAUAAUGUCGCCCCCAAACACACACACAGCGUGUGAUGUGGGGGGGCGGAUAUUGGCGUCCCGUGCGCCGCAAUGCUCGCGGUUGGCCAAAAAGUGAGUCCAUGCCGGUGAGCGCAACGACAAGCGGUGGUUGAGAGACCUUUUGGAUCCGGUCGUACGCGUUCGUUGACCAAUGGGAGCUCUUUGACCUUGGUGCAUUGUCUAGACGAUGCUUUUGUAGCGACCCCAGGUCAGGCGGGGCUACCCGCUGAGUUUAAGCAUAUC